AUUGAACGCUGGCGGCAUGCCUUACACAUGCAAGUCGAACGGUAACGCGGGGCAACCUGGCGACGAGUGGCGAACGGGUGAGUAAUGCAUCGGAACGUGCCUGGUAGUGGGGGAUAACUGCUCGAAAGAGCAGCUAAUACCGCAUACGACCUGAGGGUGAAAGGGGGGGAUCGCAAGACCUCUCGCUAUCAGAGCGGCCGAUGUCGGAUUAGCUAGUUGGUGGGGUAAAGGCCCACCAAGGCAACGAUCCGUAGCUGGUCUGAGAGGACGACCAGCCACACUGGGACUGAGACACGGCCCAGACUCCUACGGGAGGCAGCAGUGGGGAAUUUUGGACAAUGGACGCAAGUCUGAUCCAGCCAUGCCGCGUGCGGGAAGAAGGCCUUCGGGUUGUAAACCGCUUUUGUCAGGGAAGAAAUCUUCUGGGCUAAUACCCUGGGAGGAUGACGGUACCUGAAGAAUAAGCACCGGCUAACUACGUGCCAGCAGCCGCGGUAAGAC
rnacentral:rRNA from 1 species